rnacentral:rRNA from 1 species
UGACCACGAGACCGAUAGCACACAAGUACCGUGAGGGAAAGGUGAAAAGAACUUUGAAGAGAGAGUUCAAGAGUACGUGAAACUGAAGUGGUGUAAACGGACGAGUUCGAAAAGUCCGAAUGGUGAGAUUCAAGCUUACCGUGCCGGUGGCCCUCGGGUUCAGAUGGCGUCGUCAGCUCGGGCUUCGGUUCGGGUCAUACGGCGUCACUCGUCCUGGGGGUAUCUGUCUGGUGCGGUGGGCUGCACUUCUCGCCUAGUAGGACGUCGCGACCCGUUGGGAUGUUCCGUUCACUGGCCCCUGGUGGAGCCCGCGCCGGAGCGUGGCCUUGUGCCGCGUUGCUGUUUGCACGGACCCGGGGUGACCUGAUCGGCGCCCGACGGUAUCAAAGCUUGGGAAGAGGCCGCACAGAGGAUGCGUUCGAUGGCCGUUUCGGCCUACACUCGGACAGGCCUGCACCCGGUCAGCGGCGCUUCUGCUUUCGAUACUCGUCCGACCCGUCUUGAAACACGGACCAAGGAGUCUAACAUGUGCGCGAGUCAUUGGGCUCUGCGAAACCUAAAGCGAAAUGAAAGUGAAGGCCACGCACUUGUGCUGGUGCUUAGGGGUGAUGGUCGUUCCUACACGGGCGGCCCGCAACCCCGGGGCGUCUCGUUCUCUUUGAGAAGUGGCGCACCCAGAGCGUACACGUUGGGACCCGAAAGAUGGUGAACUAUGCCUGGCCAGGACGAAGUCAGGGGAAACCCUGAUGGAGGUCCGUAGCGAUUCUGACGUGCAAAUCGAUCGUCGGAGCUGGGUAUAGGGCGAAAGACUAAUCGAACCAUCUAGUAGCUGGUUCCCUCCGAAGUUUCCCUCAGGAUAGCUGGCGCUCAUAUAGAGUUUCAUCCGGUAAAGCGAAUGAUUAGAGGCCUUGGGGCCGAAACGACCUCAACCUAUUCUCAAACUUUAAAUGGGUGAGAACUCCGGCUUGCUUAGGUGAAGCCGCGAGACUCACGAAUCAGAGUGCCAAGUGGGCCAAUUUUGGUAAGCAGAACUGGCGCUGUGGGAUGAACCAAACGCCGAGUUAAAGCGCCUAAAUCGACGCUCAUUGGAAACCAUGAAAGGCGUUGGUUGCUUAAGACAGCAGGACGGUGGCCAUGGAAGUCGGAAUCCGCUAAGGAGUGUGUAACAACUCACCUGCCGAAGCAACUAGCCCUGAAAAUGGAUGGCGCUGAAGCGUCGUGCUUAUACUCGGCCGUCAGGGCAAGAGAGGCUGGACUUGUCCGCCAUGAAGCUCUGACGAGUAGGAGGGUCGCGUCGGUGUGCGCAGAAGGGUCUGGGCGUGAGCCUGCCUGGAGCCGCCGACGGUGCAGAUCUUGGUGGUAGUAGCAAAUACUCCAGAGAGGCCCUGGAGGACUGAUGUGGUAGAAGGGUUUCGUGUGAACAGCCGUUGCACACGAGUCAGUCGAUCCUAAGCCCUAGGAGAAAUCCGAAGUCGAUGCGCGAGUCUUGCUAUGCUUUUUGCCCUGUGCGAAAAACAAACAGAGGUGCAGACCGCCGUCGGCGAAAGGGAAUCCGGUUCCUAUUCCGGAACCCAGCAUCGGAAAACGUUCAAUCGGGCCCUUAAAGCUCGUCAGGGUAACCUAACAUGCCCCGGAGACGCCGUCGGGAGCUGCCGGGAGAGUUAUCUUUUCUGUAUAAGUGCGCACCCCCUGGAAGCCUCUAGCAGGGAGAUAGGGGGCAGCGCGCG